rnacentral:lncRNA from 1 species
CACAAUUCUGGUUCUGAAAUCUUUGGAGGGGGAGGGACUCAGCUGGGGCUGAACAGAGGUAACCUUCUCCUUAGUCAGGGGCCUCAGUUUCCUCAAGUUCCCACGCACCUCUUUGUCUCCCUCGUGCUGCUCCCAACCUGCUCACCCUUUAAAACACCUGUUAGCAUUUCGGAGUUACAACCUCUGAUCCACAAGGAGAGGAAAGGAAACAAUAAUGAGAUGAAGCAUAGCCCCAAGCAACCUAAAAUAUGGCAUCCUGUGUGUCAGCACCAGACCAGGUCACAGCCUCUGAGAGACCUCCAACAUGUGUGGUCAUACAUGUAAGCAAAGGAGGGUGGCAUACAAGGGAGAGAGAGGAGUGGAGCAUAAUGAUAGAAAGUGUUAGCUUAGGAAGUGAGGUAUUGUGACUCUAUGCCACUUAGAAAGACACUUGAUUAGCUCUCAAUCAAUAUCUAUUUCUCUUUAAUAAACAAACUCCCCAAAUUUUAGCUAGGCAAUGGUACUCAACUAAAGAUUUUCUUUCCCCAUCUCCCUGGCAGCAGGUGUGGCCAUUUGAAGAGAUUCUUGUGGCCCUGCAAUUUCUAGGCUACUUGGUCUGAAGGAAGCUGCUUGCCCUGGAUCCUUUUCCCUCCUGAGCUGGAAGUCUGACUCACUGCUGCGAGCUGGUUUUGAUGAUAUGGAUGGGCCCAUUUGGACUCUUCUCCACUUGUCAUCUUUGGCUUCCUACUGCUUCUCAGGUGUGGAGUUGUCAACCCUUUCACACCGAAGCCUUCCUUGCCCUCCAGCCUCGGCCCGCAGCAUCUCCCUGGAGCAGCUCCCCCUUCUCUGCUGCUGCACCUGUUCUGCCAGAAGAGGACUCGAACAAGGAGGGGAGUGUGACAAAGACACCCCAGGACGGACUCGCCUGCCAUGCUGAGGGAAAACUAGCGUGGCCCAUUUCCUAACACCCAGCGAGAGCCCAGGCUCCAUUGCCUGUGGCAUGAAAACCUUUGGAGGUUUCCUUCCGUUGGCAGCAGAUCUCAGGCGUGGCAGGUGCUGGUGGUCCAGCUCCUCAACUCACAAAGCGACACUGCAAGCACAGGUCCCUUUGCGGUGCCCUGGAAAUGAUCUGCUACCUGGGAAUAGGCCAACCCUUGAGAGUUUCUGGGCAUUUCUCUGAGUUACUCCGGAGUACUUCUUGAAGAGGCCUUGGUGGGGAUCACCAGGGAAUCCCUCUGAGUCAUUGGUUUCCUAAGAAUCAGCCGGAGGGCUUGUAGCCCCACAAACGGCUGUACCGCAUCUGGUGCUUCACCCUCCGUAGUUGCUAUGGACUGGAUGCUUAAGUCCCACCACCAAAUUCAUGCAUUAGAUCCUAACCCCUCGAGCCAUGACGUUAGGAGGUGGGGACUCUGAUACGUGAUUAGGUUGUGAGAAUAGAGCCCACAAAAAUAGGAUUAGCAACCUUCUAGAGGAGGUGUGAGAACUUCUUCUUCCGGAUGAGGAUACAGGAAGCAGGAGCCGUCCAUAAAGCAGGAAGCAGACUCUCACCAGACCAUGAAUCCGAGAGGUCUUGAUCUUAGCCUCCCCAGCCCGAAGAGCCAUGAGAAAUAAAUUUCGGUCAUCUAUAAACCAGCAGUCCCU